rnacentral:lncRNA from 1 species
GCAGUUCUCGAGAUUUCAAAUUUAAACGGUCAUCGAAAUUAUACUUUGUGGUCUUUGCGAUAGGAUAAUUAAAAAAAACUUAAGAUUUUAGCAAUUAGCCACUUAACUGAUAACAUAAUGGAAAAAUUACAGUCCAGAGACAAACUCAAAGUAAAACUUUAUGAUCAAGUAAUUGGCUUGCUAACGACAGACAAAAACUUCCGAGACAAAUUUGUCCACGCAUGCGAAAGCGAAAAGGAGAAAAGCAGCGGGGAUCAUGUCACCACAGUCGCACAAAUGGCUCUACACGAAGCCGAGGGCACCCCAGCUGUGCCUUCAAAGGAUGUGGAACCGGUGAUGAAACUAGAGGCAUCUAAGGUUGAUCCUCCUACAUUGAAACCCGUAGCCCCAACGCCAUCACGCAAAUUUAAGAUGCCUCAGCUUUCUAUCGACAUUUCGCCGUUAAAGAAAAUAUUAGCGAACUAUCGACUGAUGUCCUACAAACCUGUGUUUUACAAGCUUUUUACCAUUUUGGUGAUCAGCUUUAUCUUUUUGACUGUAUAUCUAUCUGGAAGCAGGCUCUGCAAUCCAAGUCAAUCAAGAAGAACAACUUGUUUGGCACUAGGACUGUGCUCGAACAGAAACGACCAGCAAAAUUCGAUUGCGAACAAAAUCAAGUCGAACGUCAUUUGUCCGAUUCACAAUGUUGUGGACCAAGUUGUCAGCAAGACAUCUGCCACCAUAAUGGGCUCUGAUGAUCCAUUCGGAACUGAAUCUUGGGUGCCUGGGAUAGAUCUCAGCGUUCUUAUAUUUUGAGGCUGCUGAUACUGCAGCUGAAGCGAAUUAGGUCCAGAGUGUAAAUUGUCCGUUAAAGUCCCAUUCUCAUGUUUCUCCGUCAAUAAACGAGCAAAUAUACUGGU